rnacentral:rRNA from 1 species
GCAUGGGUGGCUUGGGAUAUUAUGACAAGCCCGAAAAGUUUGGGAGGGUUGGGAUUUCGGGAUAUGGAGAUCUUCAACUUAGCUCUACUAGCACGGCAAGCGUGGAGGCUGCUAACGGGGGAACUGAGCUUAAGUGCCAGGAUUUUAAAAUCUGUUUAUUUCCCGGAGGUUUCUAUUCUUGAGGCGGAGCUUGGGUCACACCCUUCUCAGGUUUGGCGCUCGAUCAUUGACGGUCGGGAUGUUUUGAUACAGGGUACUGUGAAGAGGAUUGGAGAUGGCGAGUCCACUUAUAUCUGGAGACACAAUUGGAUACCG